UCAACCUGGACCUUAUAUCAUGUAUACAACUGUAGAUGCAAAUGGGUAUCUGAAAAAUGGAUCAGCUGGCCAACUCAGCCAAUCCGCACAUUUAGCUCUCCAACUACCAUACAACGUGCUUGGUUUAGGUCGGAGCGCAAAUUUUCUUGACCAUCUCUACGUUGGUAUUCCCCGUCCAUCUGGAGAAAAAUCUAUACGAAAACAAGAGUGGACUGCAAUCAUUCCAAAUUCCCAGCUAAUUGUCAUUCCAUACCCUCACAAUGUCCCUCGAAGGUAAUUGCCAAACUGUAUCUUACACCAAGUAAUAUUGUUCUGCUUACUGCUAUAGCUCUCAUCGGUGUCUGUGUUUUCAUCUUGGCAAUAAUUGGCAUUUUACAUUGGCAGGAAAAGAAAGCAGAUGAUAGAGAAAAACGACAAGAAGCCCACCGGUUUCAUUUUGAUGCUAUGUGACUUGCCUUUAAUAUUACAUAAUGGAAUGGCUGUUCACUUGAUUAGUUGAAACACAAAUUCUGGCUUGAAAAAAUAGGGGAGAUUAAAUAUUAUUUAUAAAUGAUGUAUCCCAUGGUAAUUAUUGGAAAGUAUUCAAAUAAAUAUGGUUUGAAUAUGUCACAAGGUCUUUUUUUUUAAAGCACUUUGUAUAUAAAAAUUUGGGUUCUCUAUUCUGUAGUGCUGUACAUUUUUGUUCCUUUGUGGAAUGUGUUGCAUGUACUCCAGUGUUUGUGUAUUUAUAAUCUUAUUUGCAUCAUGAUGAUGGAAAAAGUUGUGUAAAUAAAAAUAAUUAAAUGAGCAG
rnacentral:lncRNA from 1 species